AGAAUGCGCUUUAUUUUGUGUUGGCUUCCCUCCCAGGACUCCACCAUUAAAAUGAAAACUCGAACUUUUCACCUAAAGCUUUUGUGUUCUUCAUAAUGACACUGGUCGCCUUCCUUCCUUGAAUGAUCGAACCUUAAUUGCAGAUUUCUCAGAACUGUUCUCCAUUAGCAAUCACCGCAAGGAAAACAGCGGGAAGGAAGGGUGAGAUGGAGAUAGAGAUUUCCCAACAAAACCAUGGUCGUAAGUCCACAGUAGCUGUUUGAGAGGUGGUUUACCAUCAUUAAAGGCUACUUUGGUGUUGUUGCUGACUUGCUGCUGAGCUGCCAAGGUGCCAACAUUGUGGGAGUUUUGAAGCAAUACUGCAAAGGGAGCUCUCAGCGGGUGAUUCUCUGAGCAUUCCCUCAAAGUUCCUCCUUUGGUGAUACAGUUUUUGGUCAGAUCCAAGAUUUGGGUCCUACAUAACAACUUAAGAGUGUCAUAUGUAAAGCAUGGUUUUCUUGUUGACAUACACAUGGAAAAGUUUCUCCACUGUACCUCAUCUUCUUAAGGGGUGGAGUGGAAUCAGAUGAAUCACUCAUUACAAACCCAUUUUGAAGUAUUACUCUCUUAUUGUUUGGGUUUAUACAUGAAAUGUUGUUCUCCUUCGAUAA